AACGAACGCUGGCGGCAGGCCUAACACAUGCAAGUCGAACGAAGUCUUCGGACUUAGUGGCGCACGGGUGAGGAACACGUGGGAAGAGACCCUACGCUGGGGGAUAACAUCGGGAAACUGAUGCUAAUACCGCAUACGCCCUUCGGGGGAAAGAUUUAUCGGCGAAGGAUGAGCCCGCGUGCGAUUAGCUAGUUGGUGUGGUAAUGGCUCACCAAGGGUCCGAUCGGUAGCUGGGCUGGGAGAAUGACCAGCCACACUGGGACUGGGACACGGCCCAGACUCCUCCGCGAGGGAGGAGUGGGGAACAUUGGACCAUGGGCUCAAGCCUGAUGCAGCCCUGCCGGGUGAGUGAUGAAGGCCUUAGGGUUGUAAAGCUCUUUCACCCACGCCGAUGAUGACGGUAGUGGGAGAAGAAGCCCCGGCUAACUUCGUG
rnacentral:rRNA from 1 species